rnacentral:rRNA from 1 species
CCUAUCAGAGGGGAAGUAACCCGGCGAAAGUCGGACUAAUACCGCAUAAAACAGGGGCACCGCAUGGUGAUAUUUGUUAAAGAAAAUUCGCUGAUAGAUGGGCAUGCGUUCCAUUAGGUAGUUGGUGAGGUAACGGCUCACCAAGCCGACGAUGGAUAGGGGAACUGAGAGGUUGGUCCCCCACACUGGUACUGAGACACGGACCAGACUCCUACGGGAGGCAGCAGUGAGGAAUAUUGGUCAAUGGGCGAGAGCCUGAACCAGCCAAGUCGCGUGGAAAAGGAAGAAGGAUCUAUGGUUCGUAAACUUCUUUUGCAGGGGAAUAAAGUGCGGGACGUGUCCUGUUUUGUAUGUACCCUGAGAAUAAGGAUCGGCUAACUCCGUGCCAGCAGCUGC